AUCUGGAUGGCUCAGUGGAUGGAGCGUGUGACUCUUGAUCUCGGGGUUGUGGGUUCAAGUCCCGCGUUGGGUG
rnacentral:tRNA from 1 species